rnacentral:rRNA from 1 species
UUCGAGCUACGGGGGCAGCAGUGAGGAAUAUUGGUCAAUGGGCGCGAGCCUGAACCAGCCAAGUAGCGUGAAGGAUGACUGCCCUACGGGUUGUAAACUUCUUUUAUAAAGGAAUAAAGUGAGGCACGUGUGCCUUUUUGUAUGUACUUUAUGAAUAAGGAUCGGCUAACUCCGUGCCAGCAGCCGCGGUAAUACGGAGGAUCCGAGCGUUAUCCGGAUUUAUUGGGUUUAAAGGGUGCGUAGGCGGAUUUUUAAGUCAGCGGUAAAAUGUCCGGGCUCAACCCGGGCCGGCGGUUGAAACUGGG